UGUCCAUGCUAAAUGAAGCUAAUAGAGUGGGCUGUGAUUGCCUGAUAUUUAGCUUUUGAUGCAUUUGGGUGUUCAAUAUAAUGUCCCAUCCAGUUAAUGUUUCUGUUCAAGCCAUGAAAGAUAGUGUCAAAUUUGCAUAUGAAGACCAGUUCUGCAGAUUCUCUCUAGCUGAUUCCUGAAGUUACUUCAUAAGACAAUGACCACCUUUAAAUCUAUUAAUCAGUGGCCAGGCAAGUUAAAAUGUUCCCCAACAGGUUUCUGUGUGUUGCCAUUUUGAAUAUCUGAUUUGUAUCCCUUAAUCCUUUGUCCAAUUUGGCCGAUAUACAUGGCAGAGGGGCAUUGCUGGCACUUGAUAGCAUAAAUCACAUUGUGUAAGUGCAGUUGUAUGAGCCUCUGAUGUAGUGGCUUAUGUGGUUAAGUCCUGUGAUGAUGUUGCUCAUAUAGAAGCAUGAACAGAGCUGGCAAUUGAGUUUAUUGCAGGGGUGGGUUCCCCAGUGAGUAUGUUUGAGGUGUGUUGUGUGGUUGCUGGAAAAAAUGUUUCAGGGUAAGUGGUUGUCUGUAGGUGAGAACUGGCCCGUCCCCAAGGCCUGUGAGAGUGAGGGAUCAUUUUUCAAAAUAGGCUGUAGAUGGUUAAUGAUGCGCUGGAGAGGUUUAAGUUGGGGGCUGUAGAGAAUGACUAGUUGUGUUCUGUUAUUUCGUUUGCUGGGCAUAUCUUGAAGAAGCUGAUGUCUGGGUACUCAUCUGGUUCAGAGAUAGUAUCAAAUUUGCACUCAGAGCCAGAUGAGCUCUUCAUGUUUUCCAAUAUCUAUGACACAAUGGCUCUUGGUAAUUUCUCCCAAACUGAAAAUAACUUCCUAUUGAAAACUUUUGCAAUAGAAAAAUAAACACUGCAGUAAAAAUUAAUCUGGAGAAUACAUGGCCCAUCUUAUUUAAGAAGGAAAGAUCUGCCACUGCCUGCCAGUGUUACAGCCUAUUAAUUUCUCUCCCCAACUUGUUUCCUUAUAUAGAAGGACUUUGUUAGAGUCUAUUGGGGUCUUGAUUGCUUCUGCAUCUACAGCAUAAAGAGGCAGCAAGAAGUUCCUCUUGAAAGAAGGAUGGGAAGAUAUAGCCUGUUUAUUCCUGCCCAUCAUCACAGUGCUUGAGGGCUCAGGUCCAAGGCUCACAUAAAUGCAAGCUCCCUUACCAUAGAUAAAGUAUCAAAUGGGACAUAAGAAAGUAAAUUGCUAGUAAGUAAAUUGCUUCUCAGGCACAAGGUUAUUUACAAGAACUAGUGAAAUAAUUUUAAAAGGACCUAGAGAAGCCAUUUAGGAAGAAAGGCCGUUUUUCAGCUAAAAUCUCAGAGAGCAGCUGGAGCCAGCAUAGGUGAAAACAUUUCUAAUGGAGAAUCUAUGGAUUAAGUCUGUAGCAGGCUAGUUACUAACUAUCUCUCUCUCCGAAGCCCAUCCAUCUUCCUUAUCACAAUUGUGGCAAUUCAGCACAGGGAGGGGCACUACCAAACAUUGAAGAGCCCCCAGGUAUCGCACAGUACUGGGGCCAGCUCCUCAGCCAACAGUAGCAUGACAUUAAUGGAGCUAUGACAAUUUACAUAGGCUAAAAAUCUGCCUCACAGCUUCCAAAUGGAUGGCCAUGGCCUCUGCAGAAUCAUAAGAUGCAGGAAGCCCCCCUCCCCACACAAAUCUCCUCUCAAAUCCAAGUACAAAGUUGGACAUGCCAGGAAGCCAACACAAUAAGGAAAGUUUACACUUUCUCCUUGCAUACAUAACCACCUCACAGGAUGAUCAGGCCCUCAGGAUUUGUAGCAUCUGUUCUUUUCUGUUCACCUCCUUGAAGUCAUUUCACAAUGUUCCCCACUAAAAAAUACUUAACAGAUAGUAAAAGAAAUGUGGCUUAAAUCAAAGUCUGCAACCGAUCACACUGGUAACUCAAGCUACGUCUAGACUGCAGAGCUUUUCUGGGAUACCUCUGCAGUGUCCAAGAAACGCAUCCGUUUUUCCGGAACAGUUUCCGAAAAAGCAACCCUGUUCUUUCAGCAUUCCUGUACUCCGCUCAGUCAGAGGAAGAAGGGAUGUUCCGAAAGAGGAGCUUUUUCCAAAAUUUAGCUCUGUGUAGAUGGUCCAAAUAUCAGAAAAGCCUCUUUCGGAAAAAAAGCUGAAAAAGAUACGCAAAUAGCAGUUCACAAUUUACGUAUCUUUUUCUGACUUUUCUCGGCAGUCUACACAUAGCCUCAGUGUGAAUAGCGGUGUUCCUAAAGCUACAAAGCCAGACUUGUUUAUGAGGUUAUCCAAGAAUGUACUGUUUGCACUUCUAAUUAUUUAUGUGCAGUUCCGACAAUGCAUUCCAGGCUGCUAAAUCUUUCUUUGUCCUCACUUCAAAGAUAAAAUUAUUUUAAACAGCCAGGUAGUUUGGCAGCAACUCAGUACUCUGUCUUCAAAGAAGUAACAGAUUUUCCAUGGUGAAAAACAUUUUUGAACAUUUAAAACAGAGCUUUUACCUAGAAAUCAAAUAUCACAAACAAAAAAUUAAAAGAAGUUUGUUUGCAAACCAGAAGUAAGGUACAAUUCAGGCAAGUAUCCACAGACAUAGCUGGGUAAAAAGGGACCCAGAACUGGGUGGUAGACAACCUCUUGGAUACUGCAUGGAUCAAUUCCGAUAUCUGCAGAAUUCAUAUAACUAUCUAUGAACUAGAAAAUCAACACACAGAACUUCAUAUGCAGUUUUACAGUUGAAACCUGAAUUGAUUAUCCUUAAUACUGUGAUAUCCUUCUCAUUUAUCUUUAUGUUUUUAACCCUCAUAGUAUUCAAAGCACAAUUAACGCUGGUACUCUUCAGAGGCAAGACUGGAAAAAAAAAUCAGUAGUCGAUUAAGCAGAAAUAGAAAAGUCAGACUAGAAGUACCUCAUUUUACCCAUAUCCAAAAGGCAACAUUACUGAAGAUAAGAGAACUGGUCAGCAUCAGCAAAUGUAUGAGCAGUACGGAAGUUAAUUUAGGCUUUCUGGGCUUCACAAAGAGAUGUCAUCUUCUCCUGAAACUUUACCAUUUAAGAACAUUAAAGGAGCAGAGAAACUCUAGCUGGGGGAAAAUUCAGCGUAUACCAGGUAUCUCCUUAGAGAGGUGGCAUGCUGCCCUCUGCCUCACUUAUCCUUCACCUCAGGGACAAAGGAAAAUACUUUUACCAAUAUCUUUUUGUAUCUAUAGAAAAGUUUUUCCAACAGAACAUUGUGAUGUCAUCACAUCGCUCUGUGUCCUGCAACCCGUCCCCCUCAGCCACGCAGCCGCCUCCCUUCCCAGUGCUGAGUGCCCCAGCCUCCCCGGUGCUGGGGCAGGUGGCAGCCAUGCAGCUUCCCUGGUCUCACCAGAGCACUGAGGAGGGGCCGGGAGCCACGCACCCUCUCCCCUUGCGGGAGGAGGGAGUCUGGGAACCAUGCACCCUCCCCCUGGCAGCUGGAGGCAUGGCCAGGCCUCGGCCCCCAUCCUUGAUGGCCACAUGUGGGGCAAAGAGUUGUACUCCAGUCAAGAUGGGAUUUCCCAGAAUGCAUUCUGGGACAUAAUACUGAAAUCAUGCUGAAGCACAGAAGCAGCCCAUAUGAUCUCAGGCUGCCAGUGCUAGGGCAGAGAGGAAGACAGGCCAGCUAGGAAAGGCCAACAGUUGCACUUGUCCCUCUACAUGGGCGAUGCUAACAGAGCUGAGCCGCUGUGCAGUCAGCAUGCCAAUACAGAGCACUACGUUCUCUCUAACACCCAAGGAUCAGCAUACAAUGAAUCACAAAAUAAAAAUGAUUCUUCCGUAAUCAAAAGAGAGGUAUGCAUGAACACCUUAAAAUCCCUUUCCUUUUUGAAAAGUCUAACAUGGAGUUGGAUGCGUUACCUCAAGAGAACUGAAGUUUGCUCAAAGCUGAAGGAAGGCAUUAAUAAAACUGAGUCAGAAAAGCAUUUUUCUUUCCUGUAUCUGCUCCUACAAGGAAUGCUUUCCUUUCAAACCUCUCAUUUUUAAUCCUUAUGAUAAUGCUCUCUUGUACAGGUGGAAGAGGUGGGCUAUUCACAGAAGAGAGAUGGAGCAAUAAGCACCACUGUAAAUGCUGUUGAAAUGGGACCUGGAAAGGUUGAAUGGUGGCCGUAUGUUUGUGUAUUUCAGAGAAAGGAACAGUACAGAGCAUAUAAACUCAGAGAACCCCCAUUUUAGCAUCAGGCAUGAAGAUUAAAAGUGGAGGUGGUGGAGGGAGACUAGCCCCAUAGGGUAGAACCCUGAUGGUACCCAAGUUGUUUAAAUAUAGCACAUCAUAUUUAUUACACAAGUUGGUUUCUACUAAGAUUCAGGUUGGUCCUCUGAGCAUAAUUUUUGGGAAGAGGUCUUCUGAGUCUCUGGCACUGCAUCAAUGAGAUCUUGGAUUUUAGGAUGAAUCCUCUCUGGAUCUGCAUCUGCAAGUGUAUCCUCAAUAGAGUCCAUGAUGUGCUGUGGUUCAGUAGUGAUAUCUCUGUCAAAAAUAUGGUCCAGCAUGGUAGCUGCAGAGCACACAAACCCUUCCAGAGAUCUUAUUGUCCCUAAUACUCCUUCAGUCCCCACUCGUGCCAUUCCUACUGCAGGCACUUCUGCUUUUGAAAUGUCACAGGGAGCAUGGGAUGAGCAGGGACUCAAGCAGUUUCCUCCUCCCCCCGUGCUCACUGUGGGGACAGGAGCCGAUGCUGGGAGGGGGGACAGAGUAUUGGGGAUGCUGCUGCA